rnacentral:rRNA from 1 species
GACGAACGCUGGCGGCGUGCUUAACACAUGCAAGUCGAGCGGUAAGGCCCUUUCGGGGGCACACGAGCGGCGAACGGGUGAGUAACACGUGGGUGACCUGCCCUCAGCUCUGGGAUAAGCCUGGGAAACUGGGUCUAAUACCGGAUAUGACUCCAUGACGCAUGUUGUGGGGUGGAAAGCCUUGUGCGGCUGAGGAUGGGCCCGCGGCCUAUCAGCUUGUUGGUGGGGNGAUGGCCUACCAAGGCGACGACGGGUAGCCGGCCUGAGAGGGCGACCGGCCACACUGGGACUGAGACACGGCCCAGACUCCUACGGGAGGCAGCAGUGGGGAAUCUUGCGCAAUGGGCGAAAGCCUGACGCAGCGACGCCGCGUGGGGAUGACGGCC